CCUAAUUUUACAAACUACACACACAUACACAGAAAGGAAAGAAAGGGGACAAGGGGAGCUUGAGGGGGAAACGGAGAAUAGAGGAAGAGGGUGAUGGAACAGAGUGAGAAGGAGGAUCGCCGCGUUGUGCCGCUCCCUGUGUCAGUUGCCGUCGCUGUCACCAAAGCCAGAGAAGUGGAGAAGCAAAACCGUGAAGAGAGAGAGAGAGAUCGACGGAGACGUUCACUCGCUCAUCCUUGUCGCUGCCAUGCGUUGCCUCCGCCGUCGCCGCUAGUUCAGCCGCCGUCGAGCUCGCAGCAACCGUCACCAUGGACACCGCCACUAUCAUCUCCGAAGCUGCGUCGUCGAUUAGGUUAAGGAGUGGGAGAAUCGUGAACAACCAGAGGAGGAGAAGAACAUGUGGUGGUGGGUGUUCUCUUAGCCAGCGUCGUCGAAGGAUGCUCCACCAUCACCGCUGGAAUCACGAGCUGAGCUGUAGACUGUGAAGAUUGAUUUUCCGAAAGAAUCGUUGCUGCUAUAAUCGUCUGUGCUGCUGCCGCUGCUUCUUCGUUCUAUUAUUCCUUUCUAAUUCUUAAUUAUUAUUCUAUCCAAAAUGAAUUCAUUGUUUUGUUCACUGUCGUGGCCAACUCGCGUUGCUGCUGCCCUAUCAAAGCUGUUGUGAAUGUCGCUAACAUUGCUGGAUAAGGGAUGAAGGAGCUGCUGCAUUUUGGGUGCAGCCCAAAUAGUCAUCACGCCACACUUCCGUCUUCGGUUAUGUGAAAUUCGACAUCGAGUGACACAGGUUUGAAGAUGCAAUAUGAAGCUGCAAGUGAUUAGUAGGUUUUCUUUAUGGUUUUAAUUGCUUUCAUAGAGUCCUCUCGCUC